rnacentral:lncRNA from 10 species
UCCCUCCCCCCACACACAGACACACUCAGGCCCAUUCCCACACACACACACACCCAUUCCCCCACAGACACACACACACUCUCACACCCAUUCCCACACACACAGACACACACCCAUUCCCCACACACAGACACACUCAUACACACACACCCAUUCCCACACACUCACAUUCCCCCCACACACUCACACCCAUUCCCACACACAGAGUCAUACACACACACUCACACCCAUUCCCCACAGACACACUCAUUCCCCACACACAGACACACUCAUACCCACACUCACACCCAUUCCCACUCACACACUCACAUGCCCACACUCACAUUCCCCCCUCACACCCAUUCCCACACACUCAUGUUCCCACACACACACUCACACCCAUUCCCACACACACAUUCCCACACACACUCAUACAGUCUCACACCCAUUCCCACACACACACUCACA